GUGGCUGGGCCUUCAGCUCCCAGCAUCUGUUAGUCAUGGGUGCAAACCACUCCUGGAAGGGGACGUGAUUUGGGGCUGUCCUUUCUUUAACUGAGACGUGCUUCAGAGCGUGUUGACAGCUGAGGGUUUCUGCCAGCAGCACCACCAGCAGCCGGAAGGGAGUGGACUGAGCUUCCGUUCCUGAAGGGGGAUCUGGGCACCAUCAGUGUCCACCACGGUACCUACCCUUCUGAGUCACUUGGAGACUAAAAAUAUUUAUUAAUUCGCUAAAUAUUAUUACGUGCUGCUGUGUGCGUCCAACACUGCUAGGUACAAUGGUGUAGACCUGAGCAAGACAGAUGUGAUCCCUGCGCUCGUGGGGCUUACAGUCUAUGAGGAACUAAACAGGCAUUAAUCAAGCUAUUACGAAAAUAAGUACGGAAAUUGUGACACAGUGAUGCCUGGAUCUGCAGCAGCCAUCUUGCAACCAUGAGGCAACACAAUUGAAGAUGAAAAACCAACAGCUAAAGAUGGGAAAAUAGAAGGACAGAAAACCUCAGUUGUGGAUGUCAACAUUGAGCUGCUGAACCAAUGACUGCAACCACCUGCCUCUGGACUCUUGUUACAGGAGAAAAAGUAAAGCCUUAUGGAUUUCUUCCCCUGGGGCCAUGCGAUGAAACCAGCUGUGUCGUCCUACAGAGAACAGUGUACAUGCCCCCCCUUCUGAGAGGUGAAGAGAAGUCCUUUGCUCCCUACGGUAAACAAAUUCUCCUUGGGGCACAAAGGAGAGGGAUCCUGGGCUCUCCCCUUUCGGGGAGCAAUCAGUUUCUCCGCAGGGAAGGUAAGACAAGCCUCCAGCUUUACCUCCCACGACAUAAAAAACACGUAGCUCAGGAGGGUAGAGCUCUCUGGAAUUCUCAUUGUCACCACUGGUUCGUUCACUUCCAGCCUUCUUCUUUUAGCCCAGAUCCCAAAUGUCAGUAAAAUUUGUUCAGAAAACCCUAACUGUACAGAAACCGAAAUUUUCUGUCACCCGCAGACCCUUGCCUCCAUCGUGUUGCACUCUGCUGGGUUCCUGUUACCUUCCUGGUUCCUCCAGGCGUUUGGGUCUGACCCCUCUCCCCAUGUCUCUCGUUAAUUUAAAUUAACCUUCAGUGAUAGCUCGCAGCCACCAAGCCAUCGUAAUCAAUACUUAGACUAAAGAACAUAAAGGCGCUACCACCCAGACCUCUAAAAAGAGCCUUGAAAUAGGUUAGGUUUGUGUGAAUAAAGAAUUUAUAAUAUGAUUUUUUGGACUAGAAAUCAAAUCAAAAUGAAAAGAUAAUUUCUUACUACUUGCCGUAGGCUGCAUGUCUGUGUCCCCCCAGAAUCUGUCUGUUAAAUCCUAACUCCCCACGGGAUGGUGUUAGGAGGUGAUUAGGUCAUGAGGGUGGAGCCCUCAUGAAUGGGAUUAGUGCCCUUAUUAAAAAGAGACUUCAGAGGGCUCUCCGGCCCCUUCCACCAUGUGAGGACACACAAGAAGAUGCUAGUCUGCAACCAAGCAGCCGGCCCUCGCCAGACACCAAAUCUGCUGGCGCCUUGAUAUUGGACUUCCAGCCUCCAGAACUGUGAGAAACAAAUUUCUGUUGUUUAUAAGCCGCCCACUCUCUGGUAUUCUGUUAUAGCAGUCUAAACAGACCAAGACACUAUUCCAAAUUAUGUAGAAAACAAUUUUAUCUACAUGGCAAUUUAUCACGUAGAAAAGUGUGUUAAUCUUGUCACAGAAUCUUAGCUGCUGGUUAGGAGCAAGCAACACCGUCUUUUCUUUGGUCAGUCUGUCCUCAGACAUUACACGAGGGACAGUUGGGUACAGUGACGGCCUCUCAAGCUGGACCACCUGGGUCCAAUGCGUCCACCACCCUUGACGAGCCUGUGAUCUUGGGCAAGUUACUUGACUUCUCUGAGCCUCACUUUCAUUGCCUGUGAAGUGGAGACAGAAUAAGGCACACCACACAGGAUCAUUGGGAAGCCCAAAGGACGUGACGUGAACAUGCGGACAGGAGCUUGCUUGUUAAAAUCAAGAUACAAUAAAGCCAACACUAUCCCUUGGGCCAAAAGAAGGAGGAAAAAUUGAAUCAUAACCUCAGUGGAGAUAUUAGCAUAUUUUUUUAAAAACUGCAUUAAAAGAAGAAGAUGGUUAUAAUCAAAUGGAAACAGAAAAAACGUGGAAUUCAGGGAGGGAAAAUUGUUCAGUGUCCCCAGCAGAGUCCCAGAGAGAGAGGAUGUCCUUUCCUGAGGAUGUACAUAUCCAGUCCCUGUGCCAGAGAAUGUGCCAGGAAUUAAUGAAGAGGGUGGCAACGCAGCCCGCCUGGGCUCAGAUCCCAGCCCCUCAUUUCACAGCUUGGUAACCGUGGGCUGUACCUCUGUGUACCUCACUUUCCUCAUCUGUGAAGUGGGGAUCGCAGUCACACUCGCCUCAACAGGGUGGAUGUGAGGAUCCGGGGACUGCAUGGAAGAGUGUGGUCAGUGCCCGGCACAGAGAGAGUGCUUGAGAAAUCAUGGCCAGCGUUUCUCUUUUCUCAGCAUCACCUGGUCACAGGCUCGUCUUCUCUCCUCCCAGCACACUCCAUAUGCAAGCCCACUCCACUUUGACAUUCCUGAUGUCAACUUCCUAUCUGGUGGGGCUGACGCUGUGACUCUGGCUGGUGGUGUUAGGUGAGACCACACCUGACACAACCCCUCAGAUCUCGAGGAACAAGCAAGCCUAGGAGGGUCACUGAAUGCUGGGGACACACUCACUAUCACAAAACGUUCAAGAGCUUCAGACAGGGGCUGAGCCACGGCCUCUGAUUGCGAAAGGACUGAGAACCCCUUGAGAUGGCCUGGAACCCUGCCUGCGUUCGGGACUCAGGAGCACGCAGCCAUCAGGAGGGCUGCAAGAGGGAGCAACAUGCCUGAGAGAAAGUCACCAGAAGCGAGGAGCCUGGCAGGGGCCUGUGACGGGCAGCAGGGCCGGCCAUUAGAGAGGACCUGAUUCCCUCAGUGGAAGUCUUACAGGAGCAAUGCCUGACCUCCCCCACAAGGAGGAAUUCUGCCAGCGGACAGCCCUCCCCUGUGAACUCUCAGAUCUGGAGGCUCUUCUCUGGGCCUCCAGCCUCCUGUAUUUUAGACUUGCCAGGCUCCAAGAUCACGUGAGCCGAUUCCUUAAAAUAAAUCCCCCCUCUACACACACAGACACACACUCACACACACCCUAUUGGUUCUGCUUCCCUGGACAAUCCUGACUUACACAAUCACGCUUAGUGUUUCAAAGUUCAGUUGGUGAUUUAAUUGACCGUGCCUCCAGCUCUCUGUGACCCAGCAUAGCAGAGUGCAAGGGUGAGCCCAGAACAUCUUGGCUGUCUCUUGCACCAUGCCUCCCAGCCCCCCCUGUGGUACUGCGGUCAUGCAUUUUGGGUGGAGGGACCCCGCCCCUCACUGGAGGCCCACCUCCAGGAUGCAGGGCAAUUUGCUUUACUCGAAGACCACCAGUUUAAAUGUAAAUCUCAUCCAAAAUCACGCUCACAGAAGCAUCCAGAAUAAUGUUCGACCAACUGUCUGAACCCUGGGAUCCCACCCAGCGGACACGUAAAAUUAACCAUCACAACUAUUCCAUUUGUUCUGCAAAAGUGAAAAAGACGCCCUUUUUUGUCAAGAUAGACCCUAAGUACAAAAGAGUCUGUGCACUUUCUUGGGACAACAUAAUCCACUGGCAUAUGGAUCUUCCCACCUGCUGG